UAUAUGUAUGUAUGUAUAUGUUAAUAUUUUAUUGAAACCAUUGAUGUCCCUCUUUGCAGAACUCAAACUAACUGGAGUUAAGGACACAGAAGUCUGCUUGUGUGAGGAGGUGGUUUUCUCAGCUUCUUCUGAAGAGAGGGAAAGAUCGUUUAAGAACUCAAACCAACUUUGGAGUUGUCUGAUUUGGAGAGUCAUUAUUCUUGGUCUGCGCUCUUAGAGGCCACUGAUGAAGAACAGGCGGUGACUGGGAUGAAUGCUGGUCAGAGAGGAGAAUCUUCUUUCCCCUAAACAGCAGUGGUUUUAAAGGAGGACGCUGCCCUGGAUGAUGUAGAAGAUGUCACAUGCUGUGCUGAUGGGGUUUCUUCAUGAUUACAUCAGUUAUGCUAAAGAGAUCAUGAAAAUUGACCGUGAUGCAUGAUCUGUAUUCAUGGACUAUGAAACAAACUGUAAGUGUAUAAUUUGUUAAAAAAAAAAAAGUUAAAUGCUUUUUCUGUGUUGUUUAGUAGAAAAGUUUACACUCUGUCAUUCAUACACCUGCUCACAUUCUUUCACACACACACACACACACACACACACACACACAUGCGUCUGUUAAAGGUUAUAAUAUCAAAGUUAAUGUUGUGAUUUGUGUACUGUCAUGCCAGAAUAGUUGAAAAAAAAACUAACUAAUUGUAAAUUUAUUGUAUGUGUUUUCGUAUAUUUUUAUACAAUAUAUACAAUUGAACAAAGUCCAAUUUGAUCUUAAGUUAUAUUCAUCAAAUGUUCAAUGCUUUGUUUAUGAACUCUGUAGCUGUUAAUGCCAUCCUUUUCUGCAUUUCUUCUAACAUGUUACUUUUUGACUUUUCUCUUGUUUUUAAUAAAUAUUUUCCUUUUGGUAAUUAUUAUUUGUGUGUAAAAGUGAUAUUUAAAAUGAACAACAUUUGUAGGUUUAAUGCCUAGCUCAAUUUGGGUUAAUUUUAACGUAGAAAUGCAUUGUUUCCCCACAUGGCUGCACUCUGCGAGUUUAUUUUCUGCCAGCAGGAGGCGCUAAGAGCGGGAGAGGUAGGUUUCUCCGGUAACGGCUGCAGAGCGGCGCUGAGCUCACAAACGCUGCCUUAUCAAGCACAUGCGAAAUGAUAUCGAACAUUUUCUAAAUACAGUAGUUUUCCUUCUGAAAUACAGUGAUAAAAAAACACCCGCUCUGUUUUUUUAAACCCUGCAAUAUAGUCAUUUUAAACCAUAAAAAAGGCAACCCAGCAGGCUGGGUUAAAUAUGAUAACCCAACUGGUUGGGUUAAAACAACCCAGCGCUGGGUUCGUCCCUUUUUGACCCAGCGCUGGGUUGUCAAAAUAACCCAAAUUGGGUUGUUUUCAACCCAGCAGUUUUUAGAGUGUGUAUAUA
rnacentral:lncRNA from 1 species